GAUCUAUUAUUGGUUCAUUAUAAGCUUGCUGCAACUGCUUCAACUCCUUCUAAAAAGGUUGUUUUAAAUCUUGGAGCUUUCCAGAACUCGCGUGAGGCCCGUGUGAGCUGUCUAGGUUUGUCGGCUGGUAGUGCCUUGUGCACAGGAAGUUGGCAUACGAGUCUCAAGGUGCCAUGGGCUGCCGCAAAAAUAAUUUGAGAGGUCCCUUUUAUGCAAGUUUUACUAAAGAGAUUAUAUACUACAACAUUGAUUUGACACAACAAAUGCUGAAACUGGGAAUUCGAAACCAAAGUACAUAAAAAAAACAAUAGAAAAUGAGCGUCACAAGACCAAUGAAGAAGCACACAGUAUCAUUCAUAGCUAAACUGGACUUUGAGCUGUUUGACUUUUUAAAAUGCAAGCCUUUGUUUAAUGUUUCAAACAAAUUAUUGU